rnacentral:rRNA from 1 species
UACAGAGGUCUCAAGCGUUGUUCGGAUUCAUUGGGCGUAAAGGGUGCGUAGGCGGCGCGGUAAGUCGGGUGUGAAAUCUCGGGGCUUAACUCCGAAACUGCAUUCGAUACUGCCGUGCUUGAGGACUGGAGAGGAGACUGGAAUUUACGGUGUAGCGGUGAAAUGCGUAGAUAUCGUAAGGAAGACCAGUGGCGAAGGCAGCACUCUGGGCCGGUACUGACGCUGAGGAGCGAAAGCAUGGGGAGCGAACAGG